rnacentral:lncRNA from 1 species
AAGUUUCUUUUCUUCUUGUGACUUUAAUGUUACAAAGGUAUUUUAUGAGAACAAUUCAUUUGGACUAAUGGCUUAAUUAAGUGUGCAUCAAUUAGAACAAGAAAAUCAGAGGAAGUGACCAGGAGAACCUAUCAAAUGAAGUGAUCAGAGGAUGAGAUCAGAGAAACACAAAAGCAUACGGGUCUGUCUUUGAACAUAUGUAUAAGACCCUUAGUUUUAAAUACUAAUUUAGGCAAUUUUAGUGUGUUUUCUGUUGAAUUGAUGAGGCAUUUAGCCAAUUUUAUGUUAUUUCGUGAAUUAAAC